rnacentral:rRNA from 1 species
GAUGAACGCUGGCGGCGUGCCUAAUACAUGCAAGUCGAGCGAACAGACGAGGAGCUUGCUCCUCUGACGUUAGCGGCGGACGGGUGAGUAACACGUGGAUAACCUACCUAUAAGACUGGGAUAACUUCGGGAAACCGGAGCUAAUACCGGAUAAUAUAUUGAACCGCAUGGUUCAAUAGUGAAAGACGGUUUUGCUGUCACUUAUAGAUGGAUCCGCGCCGCAUUAGCUAGUUGGUAAGGUAACGGCUUACCAAGGCAACGAUGCGUAGCCGACCUGAGAGGGUGAUCGGCCACACUGGAACUGAGACACGGUCCAGACUCCUACGGGAGGCAGCAGUAGGGAAUCUUCCGCAAAGGGCGAAAGCCUGACGGAGCAACGCCGCGUGAGUGAUGAAGGUCUUCGGAUCGUAAAACUCUGUUAUUAGGGAAGAACAAAUGUGUAAGUAACUAUGCACGUCUUGACGGUACCUAAUCAGGAAGCCACGGCUAACUACGUG